rnacentral:misc_RNA from 1 species
AAAGUCGUAACAAGGUUUCCGUAGGUGAACCUGCGGAAGGAUCAUUAUCGUGGGGCUUCGGCCCUCUCGAGAUAGAACCCUUGCCUUUUUGAGUACUUACGUUUCCUCGGCGGGUUCGCCCGCCGAUUGGACAAUUUAAACCAUUUGCAGUUGCAAUCAGCGUCUGAAAAACAUAAUAGUUACAACUUUCAACAACGGAUCUCUUGGUUCUG